CUCCACCCGCAGACGUGAAAGAGGCUCAUUCUCCGUCCGCAGUCAGCGCGGAAACACCUCCACCUGCCGCCCAUGAGCUCAGCAGACAAUGCCAGGUCUGUGUGGCUCCACAGACGAGCGGCGCGUGACAUAAACACUCAGCAGAAGGUGGACAAUAAUCGGCUCAAAUGGGCGUCUUGCAUGAGCUCAGUGCCUGAUGUGUUUAUGGAGUGUUGCCACCCAAACCCUGGCUACACCAGGGACUCUGUUCCUCCAGUAAAUAUUUGGGAUGUGCAGACCUUCUCUGACACCGGUGUGACCACGCUCACACUGAGCACACUCGUGGUUUCCCUCAUGUGCUACAGUGACUGGUAAACUAUGGCUCAUCUUAUGACUCAUUUCUGCUGAGUCAGCGGAGUCUCACUCCAGGGUAUUUGGGGUGAGAGGCAGGGGAGGCCCUGGACUUCCACUCAAGCACUCGCACAGAAAUAAGACUCUCACAAAAGUUGGCAUUUACAAACUUUGGCAAGCGCUUCUUUAUUUACAUCCAGACUGUCUCGACGUCACAGCGGUUUUCCCUUGUCUUUUUACAUAUUCAGUGUUGAGGAGAAGAUCCCACUUGACUGAGACAUGCGAGGCCAGACACCGGAGUCUAGUAGAAAGAAUCGACUGAUCCACGUUCAGUAUCUCCCAGGAGUCGUAGCUUCUCGUGACCUCCACAAGAGGGAGCUACUGAAACAGAAUGUGAAUGCCCUUUAAACUGUACAAGAAACACACAGACGCAGGACUACACGAGAAUGUGUCGGUUAAUAGAACUCUAAAAUACUGACAGAAAAAAAAACUGGAGUUAGUUGAAGACACUUCACUUUUUACCCAAGAAACGAGACGACCAGUUUGAGUGGAAGCACUGAAAGCAGUCGCCGGAAAGUUGAGCAUCGGUGUCUAUUAGUUUCCUGUCUCUGCUUUGUUUGGUGGCUGGGGCUUGGGAUGCACAAUGAUGAACAAGCUUUGGAUAGAAGAACAUGCGUUGAGGGGCUAAUCUAGUGUGGGGCAGCUUGUGAAAGUGUGUCACCAAGAGCACCUCUGAGCGAUGAUGGGAAGUGAAGAGCCAACCACUGCUCUACGCCUGAACCCUUAGCUGUGGGUGCCUCAAAGCAUCUGACCGUGCUGUGUUUGUCUUCUGGCUUCAGCACUGGAGUUAAGUUUGGAAAGAAACAAACUCGGCAGCACAAACGCCGCACCUCCUGAAAGCAGCAAAGACGCCUCAUAAGGGGAGACAAGGAAGUCGCUGUGGUCACUUUCCAUUCCACAGGCAUCCAGACUCAAGUGUUUUAAGAGUCUUCAGGGGGGUUACGUGGAAACGAAGAGCUAAUGUGACCUCAUGAUUGAGUCAGAACGCACAGCUCCGUAAAGUGAAAGGGUGUGUUGAGAAGGCGGAGGAGAGAGAAGGAUCAGUUAUCCAGCAAGUCAGUUUGGCAAGUGCCUCCCUGUGGUUGCGAGCUGUAAACAAUUGUAUAAAGAGUCAUUCUGCCUCAGUACGACUUCCUCGAACUCUUCUCACCACAAUGGGAGGUGGAGGAACUGGAAAAUGCUGUAGUUGCACAAGUAUGUAGCAACAACGUGAAGACAGAAGGUGAAGUGGUUCGUUCUAAUGUGCUACGUCGCCACCCUGUGGAUUGGAGGGACGGUAAUCGGGAUUGAUGAAGAAAAUAUAUGGCGAAUAGAUGAGAACUACUGCUGGCUGAUACUACUAACCCAACUCAGAGGAACAGGAAGUUGCUAUGACGAUGGGUGCUUGCACACAGGCAUCCUACACUAGGCAGUGGAGGAAACAACAAGCUUGACGUCAAAGUGGGAGGGUUUGAGGCAGGGGAUUUGCACGCGCCGUAUACUGUCUAGAACCAUGGGUGUUGAUGAAACCCUUGUCUUUGUUCUGUGACUUUCAAUGAAGCACCAAAGGCACUAUCGGAGCCGUAUACAGAGAAGGAGGGAAAGACGGUCAGGAGAACAAAGACAGAAGCAAUUUGACAUUGUUAUGGUCUCCAGAUCCGGCCAAUCAGGUGGCUCUGAUGUGAGUGAGUACUCCGUCCUGCACCUGCAGAACCAGGUCGGGGCAGGUGUGAAAACGUCACUGCUAGAACUGGUAUCUAUGAUUCAUCUCUCCAGAGUUCCUUUCUAAAACAUUGACAUAUCGCACAACAAACAUCUGCCCAGUAGUGAAGUUCGGAAAGAAGUUGGCUUAGCAAACAUUUCCCUGGAAGCGUCUUCAAAAAACUCGCCGCCGUACAACCGUCAGACGCGCACGUGACAAGAAUGAUCUCUACAGACAGAAAAAAGCUCACACCUACAGUUAGUUGCUGGUAGGUUCAUGUCAUUUUUGGCAAAAAGACUUUGAAAAGGCAUGUUUUUUUUUAUCAGCGGUUGAUAUUUACACGCACUGUUUAGAGUCCAUGGAGCAUGCAUAGGUCAUCAUGAAGUCCUCUGAGCCGCCUGCUGUCCCUCAGUGAGAAUGAAAAGAAGACUCAGCAGCACAGUGCAAACACACCUCCGUCUACGACACAGAUUGAGAAAGUGAGAUCGGUGCUCAGUACUAUGCGACGCAGCUACUUGGAUUGUAAGAAAAGAGAGUUUCUUUGAGGCGUCACCACGCUCCCUUGAUAACCUGACCAAAAAUAAGGUGAUGCAGAGAAGACAGCCAACGCUAAUUCAUGUCGUAAAACUGAAGUCCCGCCCCAAAAACAAACACUAUACAGUUUCCCUCUUCGGGGUCAGAAUAUAUUUACAUUCACAUCUCUAGAAAACAAGCUUCUUCUUAAUUUAAAGUAAAAAAAAAACAAAGUAGAAAAGAAGAAUUGCCGGGGCUCGAAUGUUGACGCUAAGGUCAGAGCUUUAGCUUCACUCAACGGAGAACGGCGUAGAAAUCUACAAAAAGCACUAAAGUGACAUUUUGGCAGUUUCAGUCCUGCCUCAUGUUCAAGUUCCAAAACUUUGGUAAAAACCCUCCAGCAUGACGAAUGGAAGUCUUUCUUCAACCGCGAUCGAUAACGCCGUAAUACUGUCAUACUUGGAAACAAAGACACCGUCAGUGACGCGUGGGGUCGAAACUGCUGGUGUUAAUCAUCGCUCACAACAAACCAAUGAAAUCCUUCCAGUAAAAAAAAACAAAAAAACAAAACGGAACACCACAAACACGAUAAUAAAGAAGUCCUUCGUGACAAUCAGUGGAGUGUGACCAGUCGCUGUGAUAUAUUUACAGUGAAGGGCGGUCAGCAGGUCCGCCACCAGACCCGAGUCCAGCACGGAUGAGUGACGCUCCGUCGUGCUGUUGCUGUCGAGUCAAAAGCUGGAUGCUCAAUCAGAUUACAGUGUGUCAAGUGAAGGAACCUCUGUUCGAGGUUAGUUCUGUCAGUGCACUCCGUAGAUGAGCGUCAAACACAGCUGGAUAGGUUUUUGUUCCUGUACAAAGUGUGAAAGUGAGCAUUAUUUAUCGUGACUUCAAGAAAUAGUUCAUCUUAAAUCGUACACUUUCCAGUUUUAAGAAACUCUGACUACAAAUUUCAUUUCAGAUUGUCAAAUAAAACCUACGAUUGUUUGCUAGUUGUUAGUAGUAGUUUUAAAUCACAUCUUCAUAUUGUUAUAUUCGUAAUGAGCAUCCUUUGUGUUGCUUUUUGUGCCCCUCCAAGAAGUGGCUUCCUUUCCAGGGUGUCCUCCACCCUUUCACACCAGCUGGGAUUUGGUCCCAGUUUGACACCAAACCUAAAAUAGCAGCCUUUUUCCCUUCAGAUUUGGUUUUUCAUUGUGUUUUUAGAGAGGAUGGAAUUUGGGGUCAAGGGUUUAUAUUCGGUUCUUGAUAGUAAAAAUAAUAUUUCAUUUGACACUUUCUUUUCGAUCCAAAUAUAAGUAAAGCUGCUGUAACGGUUUCUGUGAAGCACGGGAUUUUCACUCGACAGCAAGGCUACGCCGACAUUCACCAGAGCAGCUCUGCUAUCUUCAGGGGGCAGUUCUUAGGUGUUGCGGACAGCGAGGGCCUGCUCCAGCUCCUGCCUGCGCUGCUGGAUCUGAAACAGGAGCAGACAUGUCACCAAGAAGAUCGCGAUGAAGACACCAGCCUGCUGAAGUCGUCUUCCUCACCUUGCAGUAGAAAUAGCGGCUGACGGCCUCCUGGGACCAGGGCUCGUGGUAGAAGGCUGCGCGGCGCUCCUCCUCAGGGUUCCCCACCACAUCGGUCAUCAACUGAAGGAGAAGAGAAAGGACACGAGCAGACAUGAAAAUAACAGAGGGACAUGGAGACGUUGGGUGACAAAAGUUAGGACGGACAGGCGGCUUGGACACGUGGUGAGGAGAGACAGCGUUGGACAAAGAACAACAAGUGAGCGGAGUCCAAACUUCAUCUGGCUAAUGGAGCUGGACGCUUUCAGCUGAAGGUAAAUGGGAAUAUUGCGGGACGUGUUGUUCCUCCACAGCUAGAAAAGGCAGCAGGACGUCGGUCUGACACGUCCGUUCUGGAGCCGAACAGAGUCUCCCUAAGAGGACAAGAGUCAGUCUAAACCACAGGCUAGCGCCCCCUAGUGGUCAUCAUUUUUAUUUAUUUAUUUCUACUGAAGCUAAAAACUUAAUCCCCCAGUCUGAAAAUCAAAAAAGUACCACAAUAACUUUGUGUUUUUUGGUAAUAUAUUUCAUAAACAACAAUUUAAAUAAAUACAUUUGAAUUUAAAUACAUUUAAGGAUU